AUUGAACGCUGGCGGCAUGCUUUACACAUGCAAGUCGAACGGUAACAGGGAGCUUGCUCCGCUGACGAGUGGCGAACGGGUGAGUAAUGCAUCGGAACAUGCCCAGUCAUGGGGGAUAACUACGCGAAAGCGUAGCUAAUACCGCAUACGCCCUGAGGGGGAAAGUGGGGGGGUCUUAGGACCUCACGUGAUUGGAGUGGCCGAUGUCAGAUUAGCUAGUUGGUGAGGUAAAGGCUCACCAAGGCGACGAUCUGUAGCGGGUCUGAGAGGAUGAUCCGCCACACUGGGACUGAGACACGGCCCAGACUCCUACGGGAGGCAGCAGUGGGGAAUUUUGGACAAUGGGCGAAAGCCUGAUCCAGCCAUGCCGCGUGAGUGAAGAAGGCCU
rnacentral:rRNA from 1 species